rnacentral:rRNA from 1 species
GAUGAACGCUGGCGGCGUGCUAAUCACAUGCAAGUUGACCGGUGAAGGGGAGCUUGCUUCCUGGAUCAGUGGCGAUCGGGUGAGUAACACGUGAGCAAUCUGCCCCUGACUCUGGGAUAAGCGCUGGAAACGGCGUCUAAUACUGGAUAUGAGCUGCGACCGCAUGGUCAGCAGUUGGAAAGAAUUUCGGUCAGGGAUGAGCUCGCGGCCUAUCAGCUUGUUGGUGAGGUAAUGGCUCACCAAGGCGUCGACGGGUAGCCGGCCUGAGAGGGUGACCGGCCACACUGGGACUGAGACACGGCCCAGACUCCUACGGGAGGCAGCAGUGGGGAAUAUUGCACAAUGGGCGCAAGCCUGAUGCAGCAACGCCGCGUGAGGGACGACGGCCUUCGGGUUGUAAACCUCUUUUAGCAGGGAAGAAGCGAAAGUGACGGUACCUGCAGAAAAAGCACCGGCUAACUACGUGCCAGCAGCCGCGGUAAUACGUAGGGUGCAAGCGUUAUCCGGAAUUAUUGGGCGUAAAGAGCUCGUAGGCGGUUUGUCGCGUCUGCUGUGAAAUCUGGGGGCUCAACCCCCAGCCUGCAGUGGGUACGGGCAGACUAGAGUGCGGUAGGGGAGAUUGGAAUUCCUGGUGUAGCGGUGGAAUGCGCAGAUAUCAGGAGGAACACCGAUGGCGAAGGCAGAUCUCUGGGCCGUAACUGACGCUGAGGAGCGAAAGGGUGGGGAGCAAACAGGCUUAGAUACCCUGGUAGUCCACCCCGUAAACGUUGGGAACUAGUUGUGGGGUCCAUUCCACGGAUUCCGUGACGCAGCUAACGCAUUAAGUUCCCCGCCUGGGGAGUACGCCGUCAAGGCUA